GGGCUAGCCUCCAAAGGGAGAACAUCUCUUGAGUGAAGGCUGCUCUCUGAGAAGGAGUGUUUUAUAGCUAGAAGAUCCUCAUCAUCUUUUGGGGACAAAGCACUCCAUGAAAUUCUCCUCCUGGCCCUGACAGAGCUGCAAGUUAUGCCUUAUCCUUACAUAUCAUUACUUUUUUGGGGCUGUACUUAAGGAGAAAGAAGAAAGAACUGCUUCAGCACUGACACAAUCCAACCUCUGCUGAAAUCCAAGGCCAUUUUGCCAUCGAUCUCUAUUCAAUCCAUACAGAUUAUAUGCAGAGAGAAAAGUAAUGA